rnacentral:rRNA from 1 species
UACGAAGGGGGCUAGCGUUGCUCGGAAUCACUGGGCGUAAAGCGCACGUAGGCGGAUUGUUAAGUCAGGGGUGAAAUCUUGGAGCUCAACUCCAGAACUGCCUUUGAUACUGGCGAUCUCGAGUCCGGGAGAGGUGAGUGGAACUGCGAGUGUAGAGGUGAAAUUCGUAGAUAUUCGCAAGAACACCAGUGGCGAAGGCGGCUCACUGGCCCGGUACUGACGCUGAGGUGCGAAAGCGUGGGGAGCAAACAGGG